GAAAGACACAUGUGAUGGAGGGUGGAGCUCUCACAAAGUGUGGAAGAGGCUCAGAGUCACUCUACUUCACUUCCUCUUUGUAGACCAUCCAUCAUGAUUCUUCUUUGUUGGAUUUUGUUUUUAUUCAUAGGAAAUUCCUCUGCAAACACAAUACAACCAUUAUCCUCUGAAAAGCGUGUUUUCAGAGGUCAAAAUGUGAUUCUUUCCUGUAAUUACAGCGGUGAUGUAAACAAUCUGCAGUGGUAUCGUCAGGAUCCUGGAUCCCAUCCAGAGUACCUCAUACUUGUCACAGAAUAUUCAGAUCCACCUGAUCCUUCACUCCGUCUGACAGCAAAAGCUACAAAAGAGAUCAAACGUGUGGAUCUGGAGAUCUCCUCUGCUGCAGUAUCAGACUCUGCUCUGUAUUACUGUGCUCUGAGGCCCACAGUCACAGGAAACACAAGAACACUGUACAAAAACCUGGAAUAUAAUCAAUCAGAUUAAACAUGAAUUUGAAAGGUUUAGCAAUAAAACCGUGAUGUUAAAUAGUAAAUUAAA